CCUAACUGGAGAGAAUACUGUGUCUCAAAUAUGGCCGUGGGAGGUUCAUGGCAGUGCAAACAUUUCAAUCAAGAAACGAGUGCACGACCAAGUGAUGUUAACAAGGCGACUGCAUGAGGAAACAAGAGUUUUGGUUUUGGAGAUGGCACAACACUGCACAUGGUUGCAGAGCUUGGCAAUGGUUCUCAAUAACAAAUUGGCUGAAGAGGACGUAGACCAGGGAAAUGAGGGACUUUGCUGUCUCUUAAGAAGAAGACUGUCAGAGGUGUCAGAAAGGUUCCAAAUGGUCCUCCAACAGUACAAGACUGCCUUAGGUCCUGAGGCCUCUGUCCUUCUACAUGUUGAAGAGGAAGAUCAAAGUGACCUCAGUAGUCCAGACACCAGUGAGGAUGAAGAGGAAAACACAAU